CUGCUUCGAGAUUCGUACAAGGCAACUGCUUUCUUGUACGCCCCUACCGUGUUACCUAACACAGAAGCCAAGGCGAAGCGUGCAAUCUCAAAAAUCGACGCGCCUUCCUUGCAGACACUUCCUUCUGCCUGCAUUCCAUCUCCUCUUCCUUCAUCCUCCUCUCCGUCCUCCGGUGCUCUUCUAGGGCCUGUUCUUCCCAAUCACGUCUGGCCUUGUCGCCAGCCAACCGCUCCCGUUCCAAACUUAAGGUCUGCAUGACUGGCCGCGAGAUGUAGAUGUUAUGGCCGCCAGGUCUAUACCUUGAUAAUGGUUUACAAACUCACGAGGAAUCUGUUAGGGAUUGCAAUGGCCCUGGCCCUUUCAGACAACCCUCGUCUUCAUUCGCUAUCAUCCUUCUCCCUUUUUGGCCUUUGUAGUGCUAUUGGGCCGUUCGGUACGGGAAUGGAUCAUUACGUAAUGUAGGGUAAAAGCCGGGAGGAGGAGAGUUGUACUCAUAAUGUCACCAAUUUACUGACGACCGAACGCUCGGAGUUAUAACCGAACCCUCGGUGAUUUCUCUACGGGUUUGUACGU
rnacentral:sRNA from 1 species